UCCUCAUUGCUAUACCUGUGGU
rnacentral:miRNA from 1 species